UAGUCCACGCCGUAAACGAUGAUUACUGGUUGUACGCAAUACACCGUGUGCGACUGAGGGAAACCAUUAAGUAAUCCACCUGGGGAGUACGUUGGCAACAAUGAAACUCAAAGGAAUUGACGGGGGCCCGCACAAGCGGAGGAACAUGUGGUUUAAUUCGAUGAUACGCGAGGAACCUUACCUGGGCUUAAAUGUAGAGUGCAUUAUUUGGAAACAGAUAUUUCCUUCGGGACUCUUUACAAGGUGCUGCAUGGUUGUCGUCAGCUCGUGCCGUGAGGUGUCGGGUUAAGUCCCAUAACGAGCGCAACCCCUAUCAUUAGUUGCUAACAGGUUAAGCUGAGGACUCUAAUGAGACUGCCGGUGUAAACCGCGAGGAAGGUGGGGAUGGACGUCAAAUCAGCACGGCCCUUAUGUCCAGGGGCUACACACGUGUUACAAUGGUCGGUAC
rnacentral:rRNA from 1 species